rnacentral:rRNA from 1 species
CGAUGGAUAUCUUGGCUCUCRCAUCGAUG